CACGCGGACGGGGAGCGCCCCGCCGCCGGCCCGCGGCGACCUUAAGACGCGGAGGAGGCGGAGGCCCGGGCCCGGCGGCCGGGCAGGUUCAUUUACGCUUGUUAGGGCAACCCAGGGGGUUGUCUUUCUCCUAGAAUGGAGUGUUUAUUUCUUAAUUGAUGUGCUGUUUCAUUUAGCGCUUGUGUGGGACUCAUGCUGUGGCUGUAAUUACUGUAAUCUCGGGAACAAGCAUCUCAGUUAGCGGGAGGGUGGCAAAGCACGUUCUCUCUCCGUCGCGCCCCCGCCCCUAUUCUCUCCUCUCUCUCUCUCUCUCUCUGCCUGAAGAUUUUGUCAGGUUUCAUAGCAGGAACGAGUAGGGCUCAAGAACAAAAGUCGUCGAGGGUGUGGGAACGGAAAAGAAUCAUCAAAGGUACAUUUGAGCCAGUUUUUUGGGGGGGGUGGGGCGGUGGCCGCUGGCGGCUGUCCUAAAGACCACCCUUGUCACGGAGCGAAGACGACGAGCAUCUACAGACUGAGCUGAUGGGACCUGCGUCCUCCUCCCGUUUUCUGGAGGGCCCCUCACCAGGACGUCAGGUGCAGAGCAACAACAGGGAAUCGCGGGGGUUCGGGGCGCGGAUGGAGGCAGUCAGUCCCCCGAGGAGGAGGACCUACUGGCCGCACGUUGCCCAGGGGCUGGUCUCCAAAACCAACACAGGGAAAGGAUUUUGUCAGAAGGAAGUACUCUUUGCUGUGUCUGCUGUCAGAAGGCCCACUUGUGAAUGUGUGGAGAUAACUGAGCCAAGUAUAUGUUACAGACCAGGAAGCAGAUUCUCACUUUACACGUAGCUGCCACUUUGAAAAAUGGCAAUUGCACUGU